UACGUAGGGUGCAACCGUUGUUCGGAAUCACUGGGCAUAAAGAGCGCGUAGGCGGUCUGACAAGUCCCCUGUGAAAGCCCCCGGCUUAACCGGGGAACUGCAUGGGAUACUGUUGGGCUAGAGUGCAGGAGGGGAGAGCGGAAUUCCUGGUGGAGCGGUGAAAUGCGUAGAUAUCAGGAGGAACGCCGGCGGCGAAAGCGACUCUCUGGCCUGUAACUGACGCUGAGGCGCGAAAGCUAGGGGAGCAAACGGG
rnacentral:rRNA from 1 species